UUCCCCUACAUUUCUAAAAGUUUUGAAGACUGCUUUUUACUUCUAUCCCCGAAUCACACACCGAUUGAAGAAACAAAAACCUCUCAGCGCCAAAGCGCCAAAUCUUUCCUGUUCAUCUUAAGUUUCCCUCUACAAUUUUUGAGUAUCCCCAAAUCUCUCUCUGCAACACUUGAGAUUUGUACCCAAAUGGCAAUAUACCAAAUUCACUUUCCCUCUAAUCCUAUUCACUUCAUCAAACCUAACAUUCAUAUUUGUGAGCAGAAAAGAAAAAAACUUACCUUCCUCUCUGAUCAUACGAACACCGAUUAUCCAAGCCUCCGGGUUACCUCCGCUUUGAGUACGCAAAGUUCUCGUAAGAUGACUUGAUUGUUGAGAACUGGUGAACACGCUUAGAAAGAUGAAGUAGUUUGUGAGAUCAAUUUUGAAAUUGCAUCUUGGUUCCUUUCUUGGAAUUUGAUUGAGGUGUAAAUUCUGACUGGGGAUACAUACUCAAGAAAAACUUUCAUUUUAUGUACUGUGCAUCUCCUGC